UACGUAGGGGGCGAGCGUUGUCCGGAUUUAUUGGGCGUAAAGAGCGUGUAGGCGGCCAGGUAGGUCUGCUGUGAAAACUCGAGGCUCAACCUCGAGACGUCGGCGGAAACCAUCUGGCUAGAGUCCGGAAGAGGAGAGUGGAAUUCCUGGUGUAGCGGUGAAAUGCGCAGAUAUCAGGAAGAACACCCGUGGCGAAGGCGGCUCUCUGGGACGGUACUGAUGCUGAGACGCGAAAGCGUGGGGAGCGAACGGG
rnacentral:rRNA from 1 species